AUGAACGAUGUGGACGUCGGGAAGCAGAUCCAGCAGAUGGUCCGGUUCAUCCAGCAGGAGGCCCAGGAGAAAGCCAGCGAGAUCUCCGUCGCCGCAGAGGAGGAUUUCAACAUAGAGAAGCUGCAGCUGGUGGAGUCGGAGAAGCGGAAGAUCAGGCAGGAGUACGAGCGCAAGCAGAAGCAGGUGGACAUCCGCAGGAAGAUCGAGUACUCGAUGGAGCUAAACGCGGCGCGCAUCAAGGUGCUGCAGGCGCAGGAGGACAUCGUGGGCGAGAUGAAGGAGAACGCGUCCAAGACGCUCGUCCGCGUCACCAAGGACACCAACGUCUACCGGAAGAUCCUCAAGAGCCUCAUCGUGCAGAGCCUGCUCCGGCUGCGGGAGUCGUCGGUGGUGCUGCGGUGCAGGGAGGCGGACCGCGUCCACGUGGAGCCAGUGCUGGAGGCGGCCAAGAAGGAGUACGCCGAGAAGCUCAAGGUGAACCUCCCCAAGAUCAUCAUCGACGGCAAGGUCCACCUCCCGCCGCAGAGGCUCAACGACGCCGCCCACGGACCCGCCUGCUCUGGCGGCGUGGUGCUGGCGUCGCAGGACGGCAAGAUCGUCUGCGACAACACGCUGGACACCAGGGUGGAUGUUUGCUUCAGGCAAAAGCUUCCUGAGAUCAGGAAGAAACUCUACGCUCAGCAGGUGUCACAAUAA
rnacentral:rRNA from 1 species